UGGUUUUGCUUUCUCUUAUAACAAGGGUAGCACUGAAUUCAAUGCCUCACAAUUGCUGGUUUCAGUGCCUCUCUCAGAGAUAUGAAGUUAAAACCAGUCUCUUCUGGAAUGGAAGAUCUAACUGUGUUUGGCUGCUGUUUCUUCACGAGCUCCUGGGAUCUGGACUCCCCAAGUCAGAAGUGUAAGGUCAAAACUGUAGAAUGUUCAGCUCUGAUGAGAUAAACUGAGGCUGCUUGGGAGAGAAUUUUUGGAUCUGCCUGGAAUUUGUGCAAUCUGAAAUGAAGACCAUGGAGGCUCUAUGUGAACCACGAGACUAGAAAGAAUGAUGCCCAUUCUCCUGCUUCCAGGAAGGACUGUAUUUUUACACAUAGUAUUUUUGUUCUGACUAUGACAAAAAUACAUACACAUUUUGGAAAGUACAGAAAAUAAUAAAGAAAAUGAAAACAAUCUACAAUUCUACUACCCAAAGAUGAUUACGAUUGGCAUUUGAAAUUUUCUGAGUUUACAAAAAAAUGCCUUUUAUCCUGCCUUUUAAAAAAUGCAUAGCAUUAUAUCUGAA
rnacentral:lncRNA from 10 species